AGUAAGGAGCCGGAUGAUUGCCUCAGCAGGUGUGAAGCGUGUGCUUUAGUUUCGUGGGAGGCCUGGCAUCCCCGAGAGGGAGGGGAAAGGUAACCACUCCUUUGUGGAGGUCGCCAGGGUCAUUGUCGUGGAUUUGCACAGUCGGCUGGGCGGUGCAAUGGCGGAAAGAAAAGGAACAGCCAAAGUGGACUUUUUGAAGAAGAUUGAGAAAGAAAUCCAACAGAAAUGGGAUACUGAGAGAGUGUUUGAGGUCAAUGCAUCUAAUUUAGAGAAACAGACCAGCAAGGGCAAGUAUUUUGUAACCUUCCCAUAUCCAUAUAUGAAUGGACGCCUUCAUUUGGGACACACGUUUUCUUUAUCCAAAUGUGAGGCAUGUGCUGAUAAGUUGAAAAGAGAAAUAGAGCUGUAUGGUUGCCCCCCUGAUUUUCCAGAUGAAGAAGAGGAAGAGGAAGAAACCAGUGUUAAAACAGAAGAUAUAAUAAUUAAGGAUAAAGCUAAAGGAAAAAAGAGUAAAGCGGCUGCUAAAGCUGGAUCUUCUAAAUACCAGUGGGGCAUUAUGAAAUCCCUUGGUCUUUCUGAUGA
rnacentral:sRNA from 1 species